UGAUAACGCUCAGUUUACCAUCGCCGGAGUCACUAAUUCUAACCGGAAUUGCGUAAUUGACAAUAAGUUGCUCAAAAGCCGGAAAUGUUCUGAUUGUUGAA
ensembl:ncRNA C56E10.6 ncRNA